rnacentral:rRNA from 1 species
GUGGGGAAUAUUGGACAAUGGGCGAAAGCCUGAUCCAGCCAUGCCGCGUGUGUGAAGAAGGUCUUCGGAUUGUAAAGCACUUUAAGUUGGGAGGAAGGGCAGUAAGUUAAUACCUUGCUGUUUUGACGUUACCGACAGAAUAAGCACCGGCUAACUUCGUGCCAGCAGCCGCGGUAAUACGAAGGGUGCAAGCGUUAAUCGGAAUUACUGGGCGUAUAGCGCGCGUAGGUGGUUUUGUAAGUUGGAGGUGAAAUCCCCGGGCUCAACCUGGGAACUGCCUCCAAAACUGGAUGACUAGAGUACGGUAGAGUGUAGUGGAAUUUCCUGUGUAGCGGUGAAAUGCGUAGAUAUAGGAAGGAACACCAGUGGCGAAGGCGACUACCUGGACUGAUACUGACACUGAGGUGCGAAAGCGUGGGGAGCAAACAGGAUUAGAAACCCUGGUAGUCC